rnacentral:lncRNA from 1 species
UUUCACACGAAUAAUAUCUCAUAAUAUCUUUCAUAUAAAACCAUAGGAAAAUACUAAGUCUUAACAUACGCUAAUCUUAGACUCAAGAAAACUUGGGACACAACCCAUACAAUCAAAAUAAAGAACUUAGUCUAUUACAAUACUUUGAAUAAAAGAAGUCUAAAGAUAGUAAUGUCCCCGAGUCAAGUGAGGACAUACUUCAAUUUUGCCUGAAAAAGUCUAGAUUCCAAGCCUUGCUUCAAGACACCUCUUAUGUUCCACCUACACCCUUUGAAAUAGACAAAAUGUAUGGAAUUAGUACAAUGCAUGUACUAAGUAUAACAUAAUACAUAAAAUCAUGAGAAAUGGACAUUCAUGAGAAACAUACUCUUUUUGAUUAAAACUUCAUAUUAUAACUAUAUAUUAAUCACAUUUAAAUACCACACAUCAUAUUUAGAAUAAAGUACAAGUCAUCUCUAAAUUAGAUGCAUUUACAAUAACAUUACAGUAAGCAUUACAGUGACUUCACUUUAACAUCAUAUAAAACUCACACAUGACAAUAUAGCAUCAAACAUACAUCAAAACACAUAGACAUGAGAUCCUCCUACUAAAGGUAAUUCCAAGGCUCACUUAAGUGAUUUAUGAAGCGACCACCCAUACAAUCCCUUCACACACACCAAAGAGAUCCUUUAGACUACCUACGAUAAGGUAAUUCUCAUUUUACAUAAUAGAAUAUAAUAUGACAUUCUCCUCCCAAAGGUUAUCAAAAGACUUACUUAAGUAAUACAAGAAGAGACCGCCCAUACACCCUCUUCAAGCUUACCUAAAUAAUCCUUAAAGACUACCUAUGUUUAGAUCAUGUCUAAUUUAUCAAUUUUUUUCCCUAUCUAAAGUUGUUCUUUAGUCUUCCCUGAGUAAGACAUGAAGAUACCAUUCCAAUACCCCCUUACACCUUAACUAAGCAAUCCUUAAACUACUCUACGUAAGUACUUAUUCAUUAACAUACUUUCUAACUUCCGUCUUUAUCUUCAUUAAUUCAUCAAGAGACAUUUAACAUUCAAGGACAUUCAAAUAAUAGUGUUGGAGAAGACCUAGGGACUAACACAAUAACAUCUUGAAAGCCUAAUCGUGCAGUGUCUAGAUAGCGCCCCAUACCACUACCUUAACUCCAUAGAACUUCUCCAACACUUGUAGGUAUCCUAUAUGAUGAUAAUAGGCAAUAAACAACAUAGAGAAUACUAGUUAUGCAUGGAAUAUAGAGUCAUGAACCUACUCUGAUGGAGGGUGUUCACUUGCCAAUGGUAGAACUAGGACACAUCCCAUGUAAGCGCAUGGUUAAGGACUAUGAAGGGUUUCUUUGUUAUCUAAUGUCAUCUUAUUUAGAGAAACUCCCCUAACAUACUCAUUAUAUGCUAGAAUUUGUUCUCCUACAGUAUUUCAAUAAGGAGCAUAUGGAUCGGUACCAUAACUUGUUCACAAUCCAAUCACAUUACACCUUACCAAAGAGGGUCCACUAAGGCUACCUGCAAUGGUCAAGAGGAUAGCUCAAUGACUUUCCUAAGGAUGAUUUCAUGCCGUUCCAGCCAAUCAAACCUAAGUCCACAAUUCACAUAAGAAGUAUACCAUUAUGGCUUUCAACAUCAAGGAUAUCAUAACCUUCCAUCUAGGUUGAAGGUUCCCCAUAAAAGACCUUCUUAACUAUGUUCAAGGUCACAUGUCAGUCAUACAUACAAGACUAAGAAGCUUUAGCAUACUAAGUAGAGAACUAAUAUUUACAUUGUACAUGUAUCAAGUAAACACAAGUCUAUCAAAAUAAGACAUACAUAUACUUCACCAUAUCACAUAUAUCAUAUCAUUCAAGAAGUACAUAGGAAUAAACAAUGUCAUUUAUAGGUCACCCUAUUCCCUACUAUUUUAUCAUCCAUCUAAAUUAUCACAAGGCUCAUAUAAUCCAUCAAGAAUCAUCAUACUUCAACAUCAAGUAAUACACAUAAUGACUUCACUAUAGCCUACUAGAGAUACACAUGAUCAACUUAAAGAACUCAUGCUUUGACGCCAUAUAUAUACCGCACUCAUCAACAAUCUCACAAUACUAACAUAUUCAAGUUACAACAUGAUAAAUCCAUAAUACAUAAAGUAAUGAUGACGAGGCCACAUUGUUUCACAAUUCAUAAUGUAAUGUUGACGAGACAACAUAAUUCACAGGUAUAGCACAUAAUCACCACCACCAUAAGUGGACCAUACCAAACAUCAUCAUCAUCUAAGAACUAUACUACACAAUAUAGAGAAAGUUAGGUCAACAUACCUCCAUUCCAAUCUCACAACUCCAAUCCAUAGCUAAAUCAUCCAACACAAUACUCAAAGACCCUUACCAAUGGCCAUGAUCACUAAUUGAAUCCAAUAAUCAUAAUAUUCUAUGAAUCAAAGAUAAUACUAUUUUAAACAUUUUCUACCAAAGUUUUCAGAAAAUAUUAUAUUAUGAAUUUUUUUUUAUAGUUUUCGAGUCGCCACUUAAUUUUUAAAGAAAAAUCAAGCAAACUACUGUUUUCAAAAGAUUUAAACAGAAAAAUCAUUUUGAAAACUUUUAAAGGAGUUCAGGGAUUCUUAUUAUAAUCUAAAGUUCCUUUGAAAACUAUCUUAUUGUCUAAGCGAGAAUUAUUUGAAGUUGUUUAAAAAAGGAAAUAUUUAAUUUUACUAUUUAAGUAGAAAUUGGUUUGAAAAUUUCAUUUAUUCUUUUAUAAUCCGUUUGAAGUUAACUUUAAAUCGACAAAACAUUUACGGCAUUUGCGGUAAUUUGGAUUCUUCAACUUUAAGUUAUCGACAAAUAAAAGAAGAUAAGUACACAUAAAAUAAAAGAGGGGGAGAGAGAGAGUUGGGUUUGACCCAAACCCGGUUUCUGUCCGCCUGGAUCGGUGUUUGGGCCCAUUUUGGUUUUGGCCUUUAGGCCCACUUUCUUUGUAUCUGUCCUAGACUAAACAUACAAUAAUAAUAGAAAAUAAAAGACGACAAGGGCUUAUGCUCAAAGAUAACAAAAUAAAAAUAAAAAGGGACGACAUAAAAUGGGACUCGUGGUCACCUUCUUUAUUUCUUCUAUAGUUCUACCCUUCGUUUCGCGACCUGUACGUCAUGUUUUGAGGGGGCUGACCAUCUCGAUAAAGGAAGUUUCAAACCUUUAUGGAUAUCUUCGAUAUGCAAAGAGAAAGGAUGAGUCCUUAAAGAACUCAACUUGAUUUCACAUGCAACUAAAGAAAAAGGAGAUUCAACUAGUAAUUAAGUGAAAUGCUAACGAACUGUAAUAAUUUAUGUCUACCAAUAUGGUACAAGGUCAUAUUACUGGACAAAAUAAUCAAAGUGGUCAAUACCCAAAUUAUGUAUAGAGAGAGAAACAAAAAAAAUAAAAAAAAAUAACAAACAAUAAAAAUAAAUGAAGGCCCACUUCAAAUCAAGUAUCUCAAAGAUGGAAAAUGAACUAUUCCUAAACAGAUUGGAGUAAAGCAAACAAAAACAGAGACGGUGUAGACUGAUUCCAUAUAAUUUAUAUAAAUAAACACCAAUAGAGACAACCAAUAAAAUGCAAUGCAUCAGGUAAUACAACUAAGAUGAUAUUUAAAAACAAAGAAAAAAAAGGAAGGGCAGGCCUAAAAAUUACAUGUCCGUCUACUACUCCGAACACCAAGGGAACUGCAAUUAGCCAAAAGCAAAUUCUAAACUGAGAACCACUCGCUAUCGCCAUCAACACGAAAUCAAGAUGUUUAUGGAUUUCAAAUAACAUCAGCUCAUACGAGGCGAGAUGGUAGAUAGUAAUAAAUGGGAGCAAAUUACGAUCUGGAAAAUUGUAGGGGACUGCGCCUUAUUGACUCAAUGGCAAAUUUUAUAAGCAUUUUUGAUCAAAAUUAAGGUGUGAAGUGUGUGUGUGUGUGGGUGGGGGGGGGGGGGGGGGGGGGGGGGGGAAUAAAACUAUUCAUGAACUUCCAUUAGGAUCACAACAAACAGAUUCUUAAAGCAAUUCAAGUUUAAAAUCGAUAUACUUCGAUAACAAAGUUUUCUCCUAGAUUUCAGUCAGCAGAGUGUUUGAAAGAAAAAGGAACCCAGAUUUUAUGGCAUUCAUUCUAUAGAGGAGCAAAAUGAUAUAUAUGAUUUUUAGUGCAAAACAUGAUAUGUUUUCAAUAAACCGAAUUUAAAUUUUCUAGAAACCACGAAAUCAAUCAGACGAAUCAGAAAUGUGAUACAUGGGAUUCAAAGCAAUCGCUAACACGACACAUGAAUAACGCUAAAUAACACUAACUUGACACAACAGAAAAAGACAAGCGAACAGGCAAUCCAAACUUCUUUAAUGAGAGAAAUAUGCUACCAAAGAGCUAAGUUGGAGAGAAUAGUUAAAAGAGAACGAAAUUGAAACUAAGAAUACAACAACUAUAAAUGCUAAAAGAUAUAAAACAACACCAUUUUCCUUCCACAAAAAUCUGCUACCUCGAAACAAUUGAACAACCAGAAGCUGCAAUCAUAGAAGUCGAUAGAUCAAAAGAAAGGAAAAAAUAAUUUUUUCCAGAAACUAGUGAUGGUCAUAAACCUAAACAUGCUUCAAAGUAAUACUAAACCCCACAGAGAGACUUGUAUCCGUGAGGGACCCAAAUAUGCGACUGUCUAAUGCAUUUCCGCACUUUCCAAGCACAUUGCAGAGACAAGAAUGUUCUUCCAUUAAACACUGAAAAACAACACAUUUUUUUUUAAAAAAUGCAAUGAGACAAGAUGGAGACACUACCGAAAGUACAAAGAACGCUGGGAGUACCUAUAGCAAAUGAUGAACAACGGGAACAAGAGAAAUACUAACAGCUACUCAAACGAGCAUAAUAAAAAAUAUAUAUAUAAAAAAUCAACAGUAGACUGAGAUAAUUAACCUAAAGAAAACGAUAGAAAAAAAAAACAGCUCCAACAAUAUUAAUAAUACAAUGGCAUGCUUAUCAACAAAGGAUUAUCAUUUGUCCAUGUAUGUUAAAAUAAUAACUCUGUAUCCCAUUAAUGGAAAAUCGAACAAAAAUCAAACUACAGUCACACAAUCAAAUUUAGAACUUCAAACAAUCGAAUAGGAUGCAAAAGGGAACUAGCAAGGGAUAAGUAAGUUAACCUUUUCGAGGCAGGAACUAGGACAACGACGAGCUGAUAGGGCAACAACUAUCACACCAAACGCAAAAUGGAAGGUAAUCGAGGAACCCAGACAGCAACUUAAACACACCCCAAGCUAAAGAUCGGGAUUUAACUCUUCCUUCUUUUCGAAAGGUAUUCUGGUAUGCCUUUU